rnacentral:sRNA from 1 species
UUGUAGAUGAGCUUCAGGGCCUGCACGACCUCGCCCAUGAACGGCCGGUGCGACGCCUCGACGUGCACGCACAUGGACGCGAUGGCCGCCGCCUUGGCCAGCUUCUCGAAGCCGUAGCUCGCCGCCGGCAUCGACGGGUCGACCAGCUGCUGGAGGCCGUCCCGGUCGGUGAGGAGGGGGCGCGCCCAGGUGACGAGGUUCUCCGACCCCGGCGGCUGCGUCAUGUCCACCGGCUUCCUCCCCGAGAGGAGCUCCAGCAGCACGACACCGUAGCUGUACACGUCGCUUUUCACCAGGAGAUGCCCGGUCAUCGCAUACUCCGGGGCAACGUACCUGAAGGUCCCCAUGACCUGAGUAGAAAUAUGGUCCAUUCCUUCUGAGGCUUCCUUUGCCAACCCGAAAUCCGCAACCUUGGGAGUGAAAUCAUUUUCCAAAAGAACGUUGCUGGCCUUGAAAUCACGGUGUAUAACAUGGGGAUUGGCAUCCUCAUGUAGGUAGGCCAGACCCCUUGCUGCACCAAGGGCUAUUUUCAUUCUAGUAUCAAAAUCAAGUGGGCCACUAAAUAAGUGUACAUACCGUGCAGAUGAGACUCCACACUUCCGUUUGGAACAAGCUCAAACACCAAGCACCUUGUGCUCCGUUCAAUGCAUAUACCGAUCAGCUUGACAAGAUUACGAUGAUGCAAACGACUUAGCAUCUCAACCUCGGCAAUAAACUCACGAUCUCUGUUUUGAUGUUUUCUUGUAAGCAAUUUGACUGCAACAUCAACUUCAUCAUCAAUUGUACCUCGAUAAACACGGCCAUACCCUCCUUCACCUAUUAUUUUGUUGAAGCUGAAGUUUUCUGUGGCCUUUUCAAGCUCAGAAAUAGAGAAUGUCUUAACUGUAGGUGGGCAUGUUGCAAUUGUUGAAACAAAAGAUGCCGUCGAGCUGGUCAUACUGGAGAAUGAUGACCUCAUACCUGAAACAGAAACAAGAUGUUAUACAAACAGCAAGGGAAUUACACAGUCAAAAAGUAAGGUUUUACUAUUCAUGUUGAAUCACACAAAAAAAGGGCCAAAAUUGAACUUGCAAAUUAACAUUAUCUGCAUUCUCGAAUAACUGAUACUGGAACUAUUUAUUUUCAAACUUUGACCACUUCUUCCUUUAGCAAAAAAUAAAAUAAAAUAAAAUAAAUACUUGAAAAUAUGUUAUAUUGUCAAAGUGUGUGGCAUCACAAGAUAAUGAACAUAUAUUACGUUAUAAUCACCAAAUAUGGACGAGUUUAUUGGCACCUUCUUUUGCAAAAAUCUGUUGCUAGUCAGUAAGGCUGAAGUCCUAUCAAACUUCUGACCUAGUGGCACCAAAUCAACGGUGACAGUAGUUUUUUCAGGAUCUUGAAGACUACUCCCAGCACCCAUUAUCCGAACUUGACUCUGUUUCAGAAAUGUUCCUGCUGCAAUCUCAAUUUCUAACUCAUCAAUUCUUGGAAACAACUGAUAUGGUGCUACUACAAGAUCAAGUUGAAUUUGCAUGGGAUAUACGCAGCCACAGGGGGAGCCGAUUGGAGUAGAUGUGAGUGGAGCAGUACAGGAAAUCCCACUGCAAUCUGUUACA